GUUAGGAAUAUUGGACAAUGGGCGCAAGCCUGAUCCAGCCAUGCCGCGUGAGUGAUGAAGGCCUUCGGGUUGUAAAGCUCUUUAGCCGAUGAUUAUAAUGACUGUAGUCGGAAAAUAAGCCCCGGCUAACUUCGUGCCAGCAGCCGCGGUAAUACGAAGGGGGCGAGCAUUAUUCGGAAUCACUGGGCGUAAAGCGUGCGUAGGCGGCUUUGCAAGUUGGGAGUGAAAGCCCAGGGCUCAACCCUGGAAUUGCUCUCAAAACUGCAAGGCUCGAAUUCGGGAGAGGAUAGCGGAAUUGUCAGUGUAGCAGUGAAAUGCGUAGAUAUUGACAGGAACACCAGUGGCGUAAGCGGCUAUCUGGACCGAUAUUGACGCUGAGGCACGAAAGCGUGGGGAUCAAACAGGAUUAGAAACCCCGGUAGUCC
rnacentral:rRNA from 1 species